UUGAAACACCAGUGCUCAUACAAUCACUGUAGUUAAGCAACAUUGAGCCUGGUUAGUAUUUAGAUAAGUGACUGCUUGGGAAUAACAGGUGCUAU